UUUGGCGCCACGCGCAGCAUUCUGCGCAUCUAUCUGAAGCCGGCUGGCGACAAGGUCGCGGUUACGCGUCCCGCGAGUGAGUACUUAUCUAUAAAACAAUUACGUUGGAAUUUAGCUCGUACAGGUUUCGGAAAUGAGUACUUAUAAGUAAUAAGUACAUGUCUGUACAUGUGGCAUCGACGACGCGGUGCCGGAUACAGUAAGUCCGUGAGAGUUGAACGACGUCGUCGAGGCAUUAAGCCAGUCGCAACUCGCGCUCUACUACCCGGAAUUCUUGGUUAACGAUGGCGGUGUGUAACAAAAAAGCGAUGCAGCGUAAUGACAGUUACGAUGCGAUGUGCGUGAGUAUAAGUCUCAGCUCCUGCUGUUCCGAUACUUAUGUUCUUCCAUCAAGAUGUAGUCUGAAUGAGGAUUAUGCUGUUUCUACUGCCACCUUAACCUUAUUCCUGCAGAUGCUGUUUUGAACUCUGAAUGAAGUUUAGCUACGAUCAUGACUCAUGAUCCAAACAACUUGGAUCAGUGCCUUUCUCUCCAGCUAUUUAGUGCUGGCAUAUGUUAAAAGACAAGGUCAAAUUUAUGUGUUGCAUUGCUCUCAGAGGACAAAGGCAAUUAGCGGCAUAUUGCUGUCAAUGUAACCUUGCAAAGAUAACCAAGGAGCUG